UGCGGAGGGUGCAAGCGUUAUCCGGAUUUACUGGGUUUAAAGGGUGCGUAGGUGGGCCUGUAAGUCAGUGGUGAAAUCUUCAAGCUUAACUUGGAAACUGCCAUUGAUACUAUAGGUCUUGAAUUAUCUGGAGGUAAGCGGAAUAUGUCAUGUAGCGGUGAAAUGCUUAGAGAUGACAUAGAACACCCAUUGCGAAGGCAGCUUACUACGGAUUGAUUGACACUGAGGCACGAAAGCGUGGGGAUCAAACAGG
rnacentral:rRNA from 1 species